rnacentral:rRNA from 1 species
ACCUACCUACGGGAGGCAGCAGUGAGGAAUAUUGGUCAAUGGCCGAGAGGCUGAACCAGCCAAGUCGCGUGAGGGAUGACGGCCCUACGGGUUGUAAACCUCUUUUGUCGGGGAGCAAGACCCGCCUCGUGCAGGCGGAGCGAGAGUAGCCGAAGAAAAAGCAUCGGCUAACUCCGUGCCAGCAGCCGCGGUAAUACGGAGGAUGCCAGCGUUAUCCGGAUUUAUUGGGAUUAAAGGGUGCGCAGGCGGACCAUCAAGUCAGCG